UCCGUAGGCGGGCGUCUAAGUCAGUGGUGAAAUCUUACAGCUCAACUGUAAAAUUGCCAUUGAUACUGGAUGUCUUGAAUUAGUGUGAAGUGGUUAGAAUGUGUAGUGUAGCGGUGAAAUGCAUAGAUAUUACACAGAAUACCAAUUGCGAAGGCAGAUCACUAACACUAUAUUGACGCUGAGGGACGAAAGCGUGGGUAGCGAACAGGAUUAGAUACCCUGGUAGUCC
rnacentral:rRNA from 1 species